UCUCAUCAAAUUGUCUAUAUAAGCAUCUCUAUCUCUCUCUCUCUCUGUAUGGUUCAUGUGACUUGCUUGUCUAUUUGGCUGUUUCUUUGGUUCUUUCUUAUUCUUCCUCUCUUUCUACUUUUCUGUUCAUUUUGAAUAGUAUGGUGGUGGUGUUUAUUUGUUUUUCAGGUUUUUCGUUCAAAACAUCAUUGUUUGAUUUUAUGUAGUUUUAUUAAAUUCCUUGUUGAUACAUACAAUCAAAAUAAGAAUGUUUUUGUUUUUUGAGAAAAUGGUUCUAACCACUUCAAAACAACCAGUUUUCACUUUCAUGUCUUUAAUUAGUUUUCCAUACUUUAAAACGUUUCUUUCUUUAGUUUAUAUAUAUAUAUAUAUAUAGCUAGCAUCUCAUAGGUUAAUCUGUAUAAACAUGGAAAGAUCUUUCAGUACAUGCAAACGAUUGGGUACUUCGAAACAAUAUUUCUUUCUGUUAAUCUUUUACUUGCAGCUAUUAUGAUUAAUCUAUAUGAACAUGGAAUGAUCGAACGUUUCAGUAUAGAAAAAUGGUUGCAUACUUCCUUUUGUGAGCAGAAUGAUGGCAUCGUCUUCAAAACUAAUUUUCUGGAAUAUUCUCUAUUUCCUCCUCUCUGGUUUGGAAAUUUUAAAGAUUAUGAUGUAAUGGUAUGUUACUUGUUGGUUUUAGUCUAAACCUUAAGAAGUCAACAAUCGCAGGGGAGUUUCCGCAGCAUUCACAAGGUAAACAAAAGUUUUCACUAGUAGAUUAGUUUCAUUCAUAUUUAUUAGCAUCCAUGCAUGCAUGUAUACAUACAUAACAAGCAUAUAGUUUCCUCUUUUUUUUUUUCUUUUUGAUAAAGAGCACAUGGUUUUACAUCAAACGUUUAGAUGAAUAGAAAACUAAUGUAAAGAAAAAUAAAUAUACACAUGCAUAACAUGAAAUUCAUGUUCAUAUUAUAAGCAUGAACAAUAUAUAUAUAAUAGAGAUACGUGGAUUCCUGCACUUAACCCUGACUUUUCCAUAAAAAAAAAAAAACAAAACAACUUUGACUGUGGAUAUCUUUCCCUUGGUUGUGGUGAUGUGUGGGAAUAGGAUGGGUUUGUUUCAUGGUCUCUAUGCAUUAACCUGAUGGCUGCUUCAAUGAAUGUACUUUAAAUGCCUUUGAUGUCAACUCUUAAUUCAAUAUGUGUCAUGCAUUCCACAUGGAUGCAUGCAUGUCAUUUUCCAUAUUUUGAUGGUGGUAUAACUUUCUAAUACAGGAUGCAAAAGGGUGGAACCCUAGAUGAAAGAAGAUGACAGAAGAGAGAGAGCACAGCCUGACAUUGGCGAAAGAAGCGGGUUCGCUCUUGGGGGGAUUGUGCUCUCUUCUCUUUCUGUCAUCACCGUCUCUAGAGUUUUUGCCUGCGCUUUUUCUGAAGCCUUAGUCUUCUUUUGGUGCAUAUCACUUCCUGAUAUCAGCUGCUUUGCUCUUGCAUUCGCAGUCAUCCGAUCAAGGACUCGAGUCUUGGGCAGGUGGAAAGGAAGCCUCCAUGGCUGCAGUCCCAUGCGAUAAGUUGGUGGUGGUCGUGUUUGCUUGUUGUUUGUUCUUCUUCUUUUUUUCCCUCUCUCUUAUUUUUAAUGAAAACAAAAAUAAAAUUAAUAUUUGCUAUUUUGCUUUGAUAGAAACUUUUGUUUCUAAUUUAUUGAUCUUCUCUUUAUUUCUCUGUAAAAGCUGAACUGAGCAAGGUGUAUUAAUUUGUUAAAGAUGGAUCUGUGAAGGUGAAAUGGGAAGCAUCUACCAAUGGAGACAUGGAGUUGGUCGUGUAGUUUUAAGUUUUUAUCAGUAGCGAGUUAAAUUCCUCGGAUUGGGGUUAUUCUCAGGUGAACUUGUGCAUGUCCAACUUUUUAUAUAUCUUAUUGCCAGAUUAAUGUCUC